rnacentral:tRNA from 1 species
GGGGGCAUACUCAGUGGUAGAGUGCGUGCUUAGCAUACACGAGGUCCUGGGUUCAAUACCUGGUACCCACC